rnacentral:lncRNA from 1 species
UGAAACACACAUGAUCCAGGAGGCUACUGCAAGGAAUGCAGAAGGCUUUAGGAUAUUGGACUAGGAAAGUGAUUGAACACUGUUAGCUUCAUGAGCCAUCCUAUCGGGAGCUUGGAAGACAGCAGUGCUGAGAGCUCUGAAGGCUGAAGGGUUAUCAGUAAUCAGUCUUUUCGUAAAUGUGAUCCACGUAAGCCUCCGUGGUCUACAGUGAAGACGACCAAGUGGGGCAAAAUUGAUGUAUAAAGUACCCAGUUUGAAGAGAAAAAGAGUAACAUUUGAGGCAAGACUUGUGCUGGAAGAGAUGAGAAGGUUAAAGAGCGGUCUGAUCAAAAACGGAAUAUGAACGUGUGCCGGGGGCCAGCCCUGGCAGUUCUUCAUUCUUGUUUAGUUCUUUUUGGGGCAGCAGAGGGUGAAGAGUGUUGGCAGGAGUAAGGACUUAUGAAAUAUUUAGGACUGCUGUAUAAUAAUAAAUC